rnacentral:rRNA from 1 species
AUGCGGGAGUCGCUCGGCGAGCUCAAGCUCAACACCGUCUGCGUCGAGGCCCAGUGCCCCAACAUCGGCGAGUGCUGGAACGGAGGGGGAGGGGCGGGCGGGGAAGGCGACGGCAUUGCCACGGCGACCAUCAUGGUGCUCGGCGAUACUUGCACGCGCGGCUGCCGAUUCUGCGCCGUGAAGACCAGCAACAAGCCUCUGCCGCCGGAUCCCAUGGAACCUCUGAACACGGCCUUGGCAGUUGCAAGUUGGGGAGUAGACUAUGUUGUGCUGACAAGUGUUGAUAGAGACGACUUACCUGAUGGUGGAAGUGGCCAUUUUGCUCAGACAGUGAGAGCUUUGAAGGAGCUCAAACCUGGGAUAUUGGUGGAAUGCUUAACCUCGGACUUUCGAGGUGAUCUGGAGGCUGUUUCCUCUUUGGCCGAUUCUAAUCUAGAUGUCUUUGCACACGACAUUGAAACUGUGAGGAGUCUGCAGAGAAUUGUGAGGGAUCCUCGCGCAGGGUAUGAGCAGAGCUUAGCUGUUCUAAAGCAUGCAAAAAUUUGCAAAGAAGGGAUGAUAACCAAGUCUUCUAUCAUGCUUGGUCUUGGGGAAACUGACGAGGAGGUGAAGCAAGCCAUGAUUGACUUAAGGGCAGUUGGUGUUGAUAUUCUCACAUUGGGCCAAUAUUUACAGCCAACAGAAAAAUAUUUGACGGUUAGAGAGUAUGUGACGCCUGAGAAGUUCCAGUUUUGGAAGGAGUAUGGUGAAUCAUUGGGUUUUUGUUAUGUUGCUAGUGGACCUCUGGUCCGGUCUUCGUACCGUGCAGGAGAGCUCUUUGUCGAGAAUUUGGUCAGAAAUAAGAAGAUUAAGCCUGCAUCUGGCUCCUCUUAA